AGUGAACGCUGGCGGUAGGCCUAACACAUGCAAGUCGAACGGCAGCACAGUAAGAGCUUGCUCUUACGGGUGGCGAGUGGCGGACGGGUGAGGAAUACAUCGGAAUCUACUUUUUCGUGGGGGAUAACGUAGGGAAACUUACGCUAAUACCGCAUACGACCUACGGGUGAAAGCAAGGGAUCUUCGGACCUUGCGCGACUGAAUGAGCCGGUGUCGGAUUAGCUAGUUGGCGUGGUAAAGGCCCACCAAGGCGACGAUCCGUAGCUGGUCUGAGAGGAUGAUCAGCCACACUGGAACUGAGACACGGUCCAGACUCCUACGGGAGGCAGCAGUGGGGAAUAUUGGACAAUGGGCGCAAGCCUGAUCCAGCCAUACCGCGUGAGUGAAGAAGGCCUUCGGAUUGUAAAGCCCUUUUGUUGGGAAAGAAAAGCAGCAGGUUAAUACCCCGCUGUUCUGACGGUACCCAAAGAAUAAGCACCGGCUAACUUCGUG
rnacentral:rRNA from 1 species